rnacentral:rRNA from 1 species
ACUCCUACGGGAGGCAGCAGUAAAGAAUCUUCCACAAUGGGGAAGCCAUCGAUGGAGCAAUACCGCGUGGGCGAUGAAGGUCGAAAGAUUGUAAAGCCCUUUUCUGAGGGAAGAAUUCUGACGGUACCUCAGGAAUAAGCACCGGCUAACUCCGUGCCAGCAGCCGCGGUAAUACGGAGGGUGCGAGCGUUAUCCGGAAUCACUGGGCGUAAAGGGCGCGUAGGCGGUUACAUAAGUCCGAUGUUAAAGCGUAGGGCUCAACCCUAUAAAGGCGUUGGAUACUGUGAAACUAGACUUCUGGAGAGGUAAGUGGAAUUACCAGAGUAGCGGUGAAAUGCGUAGAUACUGGUAGGAACACCCAUAGCGAAGGCAGCUUACUGGACAGAGAGUGACGCUGAGGCGCGAAAGCGUGGGGAGCAAACAGGAUUAGAUACCCUGGUAGGUC